rnacentral:rRNA from 1 species
UACAGAGGGUGCGAGCGUUAAUCGGAAUUACUGGGCGUAAAGCGUGCGUAGACGGUUAUUUAAGUCAGGUGUGAAAGCCCCGGGCUCAACCUGGGAAUUGCAUUUGAGACUGAAUAGCUAGGGUGCGGAAGAGGGAAGCGGAAUUUCCGGUGUAGCGGUGAAAUGCGUAGAGAUCGGGAGGAGGGCCGGUGGCGAAGGCGGCGCUCUGGAACGUUACUGACGCUGAGACACGAAAGCGUGGGGAGCAAACAGG